rnacentral:lncRNA from 1 species
UCCAUCGGUUUUGAGUUUUCGCAAAAGUAGGCUGUCUUUUUGAAUUUUGCAAAUUCUGUCCGGAUUCUUAAUAAAGUGGUUAAAAUACCUUUAUUCCUCUUUCUCUUUUCUUUUUGUUUCAUACUCUUCUUUUUUCGUACGACCUGUCUUCUUCCUUCUCGUCAUUUCUUUCUCUCUUUCUCCUCCUACUUUCUUUUCUUUCUCCUCCUCUAGUACCACCCCGACAUUAACAAUGCGCUCCUUUCUCUUACUUUGCCCACACAUCUGCUGAGGCCGGCUCGAAUAUGGUAUAGAUUACGAUGCGGUGGAAUACUUGGCCAUGGAUGGUGACGGCGAUGGCGAUGAGGGUGCCGUAGGUUUGAGGACAACGGAGAGGGAGAGUGGCGAAGGCCGCGGUGGUUGCGGCAAAGAACGAAGGAUGAGGUGUGGAAACAUAAAAGGAUGCGCAAUGUGAAAGAAAAAAAUAAAGAAAUGAAAGAACUGGAGCGAGAAAUUGU